rnacentral:rRNA from 1 species
AUUAGAUUCAGAACCAAUGCCCUUCGGGGUUUUCUGGUGACUCAUGAUAACUCCACAGAUCGCACGGCCUUGCGCCGGCGAUGGCUCAUUCAAAUUUCCUCCCUAUCAACUUUCGACGGUACGGUCUUGGCCUACCGUGGUUGUAACGGGUGACGGAGGGUUAGGGCUCGACCCCGGAGAAGGAGCCUGAGAAACGGCUACUACAUCCAAGGAAGGCAGCAGGCGCGCAAAUUAUCCAAUCCCGACACGGGGAGAUAGUGACAAUAAAUACCGAUACGGGGCUCUUUUGGGCCCCGUAAUUGGAAUGAGUACAAUUUAAACCUCUUAACGAGGAACAAUUGGAGGGCAAGUCUGGUGCCAGCAGCCGCGGUAAUUCCAGCUCCAAUAGCGUAUAUUAAAGUUGUUGUGGUUAAAAAGCUCGUAGUCGAACCUCGGGUCUGGCCGGCCGGUCCGCCUCACCGCGUGCACUGGUCUGGCCGGGCCCUUCCCUCUGCGGAAACGCAUGUCCUUUACUGGG